ACGCACAGACGCGCUCGCGCGUGCUGCCUCUUCGAAAACGUCGCGUCCUCGCAGGCACCCAAAUGCUCGAAAAACUGAGCGCCCUCUGGAAGGUGACAAAGGAGAGGAUAUGCAGACCAGAUUCGGCUCCCAGCACCAGCGGCGACGGGCCUCCGCCGCACAUCCCCGACAGUUCACCCAAGCCUUGCGCGCGGUCGGCUACAACGGCAAGGAACCAACAGAGCAACCCCCUUUGCGUGCCCUCCGACAGAUCGCAGACCAGGUCUCACAGAAGCGCUGAUGGGCAACUUGCAGAAAGCAGUGGCUUCUCUCCUUCCUCGGUGUCGGACCGACCAGUGAGCGGCAAGGCCACCGGAGAUGCAAGCCAAGGCACAUGUCUACCCUCGAUUAGUGGCGCGCCGCCCCUUUCGCGUUCGCCAGCCCAGCAGCAGCAGUCCAUAAAAGCGCUCAGUGCAUCACCGACAAGGAGUGGAUGUCACACCUCUUUCCUGGCAUCGCCUUCACAGUGGCAGCCAACGACGUCUCCUGUAGCACCGCUGCGCGAAGGUCAACAGCGUCCACCACGGGCCAACGCCAAGGCGCCGCUUGGUCCACACAGCGCUACCGCCUCGACACCGAAGGCUGCUGACAACGAGGGAUGCGUGGGUAGCUACCCAAUGCUCCGCCGGCUCACAGCGGAUUUGGCGCAUACUCUAGACAACUGUGUCGCGUACGGGACUCUCUACGACAACAGUGGGCCUGAGGUGCAUGAAGGCUGUCCGCUGCCCCAUCCUUCAGCGCCGCCGUACUCACUGCUGCAGUGUCGGACACUCGCCGUGCCGCAGCCGUCCCCUGCACCCAAGGGCGCUGGCGAGCCGGCCCGUGAUACAGUUCCGAGGAGGAACACGGAUGGUAAUAGCGUGAACAACAAUGCGUUCGUGCAUGAACCCGAAGGCGAGAAAAACUUUCACGAGGCGAUGCUCCAUCUUUCCAGGCUCAUGAGCGGCACUCGUGACAAGACGACGGGAACGAUGAGCGAUGGUGCUAGUGGCACGGCAAUCAGAGGCGGACGAGCGAACAACAGCGGUCGUAUCCGUACGCUUCGGUCUUCAAGACGAGCCAGCGAUGCUACCAGUGGUCCGGCGAAUUCGUCGAGCGCGAAGAACCGCGACUCGAGCGAGGCCUCCGGUUUUAGCCGUGUCGACUUUGCAUCGCUCUUUAUGACACCCUCGUACGACCUACGCUGCGACGAACCCACAGGAAUGUAUAACUGCACCUUCUUGGAUCAACCACUGGGCCAGAGCGCCGGCGUAUUCUCUCUUGCCGGCACCACCUCGGGCUUCUCGACUCCUCCGGUGAGCAUGACGUCCCGGCAGACUUCGAAAAGAAAACAAAAUGGGGAAAGUGGCUCGAACGCGCGGCUAGGGCGGCAUGUAGAGGACACCGCAGCCGACGCCUCUGAGAGUGUCGGUAUGCACCUCACGAAGAUGGAGGAGAAUAUGGAGGAGAGCAUGUGCAGCCAGACAGCCGGGACAGCGAUGCUGCGCCGCGUUAAUGACCUAGCCCUGUCGCAGUGGAAGUACGUUGCACUCGUUGCCAAUAAGGUGAUGGAGAAGAAGACACUGGUAAGGGCAUCGCGGGCGCUGUCGCAGAGGGUCUUGAGCGUUUCUGGCGCCCUGGAACUCAACGUGCUGCCGCACGAUCGACUGCGGGAAGCCUCUGCCGGCAGCGCUAAGCGAAACGACAGCUUAAUCUUCGAUGCCACAACAGAGAGCCGCUACGUUUUCGACACAGACGACGACGAGGUGUCAGUCUAUGAUGCCGAUGGCCGCCCGCUGCUGAUCCCAAACAUGAGCGAUUUGUGGGAUGACUUCCGCAGCUCCAACAGCAGCGACGAGAGUCUUGUGUUCGGUGAGGCGGACGCGUUUACUGUGGAUGACGGUGCAGCCCGCGUGGGAAAGGAAGGCGAGAGCGAAUUGUGUGCCACUCGCCCACCCUCGCCAACCGAGACGAGGAGUGGCCCCGACACUUCUUACGAUCAACAAGCACCGCCGUCUCGCGAAGCUCCCCCUCCUCCGGCCGCACCAGCCCAGCAGCGAACGAGGCGACAAGCACCCAAAAACGGAUCUGCCAACGAUAGCUGGGGCGGCAGGGGCUAUGAAUACAGCAACGGCGACACAAAUCUGUAUCCGGCGUACCAGCCCCACCCUGACCCGCGGGUGCCGGAGCAGAUGAAGCGGCACCGAAUCAUGCAGCAGCAGCGCCAACAGCUGUUCCAGCAACAGCAACAGCGGCAUCACUUCCACUCCCUCACCGCGGGCUACCAGAAGCACACGCAACCACAGCUCCCUGCCUAUGCACGCCAUCGGCAGGGCCGAUCCGGGAGCGCACGGGGAUGUCCGAGUAGCAGCGCCAAGAUGCCAUGGCCGCAGCCGGAUAUUUACAACGGUCCGAAAGUGUACACGGGCCAAUCGAAGUUUGUGGACUUUACGGCACUGAGCGGCAUUCGCCUGAGCGAUGUGAAACGCGUGAAGUCGCCGUGCUGGUAUUCCAUAAAGCUGGCGGAUGCGAAGAGACGGCAGGAAACGGACGAUCGAAAGUCAUGAGCCGAUUCUCUUUUCGUGUUCUUGCUGUUAUGCGUUCAUGGUAGAGGUGUGCUGGUUCUGUGAGAUGUGAAGGUGACACGAAUGCAUUCGCCCUUUUUCGAUACAUCAAGAAAGGGGGCGCUCCCCUGACGGUGAAGGGCUCGACUCGAGCGCACAUCAACUGCGGGGGUGCCUUUCUGUUUGGUUUGUAUUUUGCCGGACCUUUUGUUUGUUGUUUCUACCCCAUUGCGUUGUGUGUGUGUGUGUGUAUGUGAUCAUCGCAAGUUGCUCGUGAGAGAGAGAGACGAAGGCCGGGCAUCGCGUGUGCAGCAGUGAUGGAGCGCACGCAGGUGUGGCUGCGGCUUCGCGUAAGAAGACGCCGAGCGUCUCACGUCGUCUUCCACGACACCACUUUGAAGUUGUCGACGGAGUGCGGAACUUGAGGGGCUCGCUCUGUGGUCGAUUUGAAUCUUGGACUCGAUGUGGCUUGAGCUGCAUCAUGACGUUUGCGGUGUUGCUGUCAGCGGCCACGCUCUAUUUAUUCUUUUCUCGUCUUUGCCGAACGAGACUGGGGAGUCGUUGGACAGGUCAGAGGAGACAUGGAAAUGACAGCAGACGGGAUGCGUCGUGCAGAAUCCGCGACGGUGGCUCGUCUCGCUCGGUAUCGUCUUGAAGAAUGCAGAGACCGUUGCACAAGAAUCCAUGAACUCCUCCACCCUCCCCACUUGAAUUGGGUGCACUCUCCCGCAUUGGCCUUCCACCGGGAG
rnacentral:misc_RNA from 1 species